UUAAAAUAAUGUCAGCAUGUAUAACAUAAGAAAAAAAGUUCUUAGUCUGUUUCUAAGCCAACAGCCAGAUGUAACAAUGCACAGGUAACAAAGCCCUUUAAUGCAUAGAAAAAUAUAACCGUAAGAAAUGCUACGUCAGUGACUAUGAUCGGAUAACAAGGACCUAGAACAACGUUUUCCCCACUGUCUUGCGAAGGUGUUGUAACAUGAGUUCUUUAUCUUUACUAAUUUAAUGAAGUUUUCAAAAAACAGUUCACAAGAACAGACCAGACUGGGUAUAUUCAGACCCUAGAGAAGGCCAGAAAUUUGUGUGUCCUUUGAAACCUUCCACAGAAAGCAAAGUCUUGGUGCAGCAAGGGCAUCUCACGUAAGCACUCCACACAGUGCAGGCUCCGCGAUCUUCCCUUGGAAAGUACAUGCGCCUGGCUGGAAGCUCAUCUUGGGCCUUAGAAGUUAUCUAGGAAUUCAUUUCCUUGUGAAUAGAACUAGAUAUUCAUUUAAGCUUUAAGAUGAGGUUUCCUUAGCUGGUUUAUCUACGGCCUCCCCAUAAGGGGAGGAGGCUUGGAGAUCUAUAUCCACAAAAUUUGACUUUUAUUGUACUUAUCAUUAUUGUGGGGGCAGGCACCAGCCAUGGGUGAGGGUAUAUGUGGGAGGAAGGGGAAAGGGGGGUUUCUCCUUUAUGAUGCCAGCCCCUCCAUUUGAGAGUUUGGCUUAGCAGGAGUCUUGUGGGUAAUCAGUUGGCUCUGUGUCACAGUGAUGUAAGUGCUCUUAUCACCACCUGGCUGUCAAGAAAGGCUGGGUUGUAAUCAAAGGACACCCCUCCCCCUCGUCCCCCUCCCCCUACCUCAUUGUGUUGCCUGAGCUGCAAGGCAGUCAGCUCUCUGUUGGAGGUCUGGCAUCAGGAGAAGCAAAGGGGAGUGAAUGUCCUCACUUCACAAGCACAAUUUCUGCCUUGGCCUUGACCUUCAGUAACUCACCUGAGCUAAUUCAUCCAGCUCCACUUCUGAGGCAGCAAUAUUCUACACACAAAGGCUUGUUGAGUGUGAAGGGGUGUGCGUCUGUGCGUGUGUGUGUGUGUGUGUGUGUGUGUGUGUGUGUGUGUGCGCGCGCGCGCGCGCGCAUGCUCAUGAGAAACUAGGAUAGAAAGCUACAGUGAAAACCCUAACUGUAUUGUACUCAUCAAGCAGCACGUCACCUGGGAUGCACUGUGCAGCCAGCACAUAUAGAGCGGAGGGUUUAGCAAUGUAAUGUCACCGCCCUGGGUUUUCCAUAUAGACGGUGUACUUCUGCCGCUCAUUCUAAGACACGAAGACCUCUAACCCUGAUGGGAACUGCUGGCUCUUGGUGAGCCAAGCACUGCAUUCUGUGAGAGAAUUUACCCUUUAGUUCAAUCACAAUUAUCUACUGCAGAGUUAGCUGACUGGAACAUUGGAUCAAAGUCAAAUCCAUCCUUUCUUUGUUCCAGUAAGUGAGCACUGUGUACUAUCCGCCAUUUUAUAGAACUAGAAGUUGAUAAACCUUUACAAUAAAUAAAUGUAUACUCUAUCACUCCCUAGAUCUGACUACUUUAGUGUUAGGUGACCUGAGCUCACGUUUGGAUGUUCGGAUUGAUCCCUUUAAGAAGCUCUCCGGAAUAUUUUCAGUAUCUUACAAGGCAUCUCUGAUGUUGGACACACUGUAUUGUCUGCUCUCUUGACUGGUAGUUGGUGAUUAUUUUGACUAAUGAGAUGUUAAGUUUCUACAAUUGUAUACAUCCCCAAGUGUACGUGAAUGAAAACCAAACACCAUGCUAUCUGCCUUCAAGACUAUCAGAUGAGUAGGGCAGACUCUAAGGUUAAAAUUAACCAUGAUCAUUUAAUGACAUGAGCUUUUAAGGGUAAAAAUUCCUGGUUGGCUAGAUUCCUCAGUAGUCAGAGGGGCUUGUUGUGCAAACUGGGAUGACCUGAGUUCAAUCCCUGGGACCUAUAUAAAGGGUGUUUUUUUUUUCUAGAAUUUAUUAAAUAUUUUCUUAAACUAUGGAAAAUUGUCUGCUAGGAGUAUAAGAGAGAGCAGAGUUCUUGCCAUGCACAGCUGAGCAGGAGGCUAUCUACAUACAGUCUCACCGACUCCUCACAACGGUCCUGUGGAGUUGGUACAAACAACUUUACAUCUUAUCUGUGUGGGGACAAGAACCCAAACAUCGGUCAGCCAAUCAGAAAAGGCACUGGGACCUAAAGCCAGAAAGUCACCUACUACACUCUGUCCGAGCAUGACCUCUGUUCUUUCAGGGUUUGAUGCCAGAAAAAGCUCAGACUCUGGAACUGAUCCAGACUCAGGCCUAACUACAUAGGUCAGUGAUCUUGAAAAAAUAUAGAUCUUGCUUUUCUCAACACCUAAACAGACACGCAAGCAUUUCUGUGUCCAGCGCUACCUUCCCACCUGUCACCCCAGCCACUCUAGGAUGCAGAAGCACUCUUGGGUUUAAGGCCAAACUCGUUCAGCUAACAAGUCCCUCCUUCAAAGGAUGGGGGUGCAGCUCUUUGGUAGAACAUAUCUGAAGUCCUGGUGACGGUCUCAACAGUGCCAUAAAACACUUAAGAAGUAAGUUAGAUAAAUAUGGGCAGUUUCUAAGUCGUCAUGGAAUGGUGGUGAGGAGCAAACACGAUUCUUAGAAAGCAGCGACUGAGUGAUUUCCACAGAGUUCAGUGAUCACAGUCUGCAAUAGCAGUGACUCCUCAGGGGACAGUGACAUAUUUGGGGCUUUGGCCCCAUACCAAGUGGCCAUGAACUGCUCUCAGUGAGUUCCUGACUCUUUUUUUUUUUUUUUUUUUUCCCUCACUGUUUAAUGUUCUCCACUCUCAGGCUGUCACUUAAUCAAGCCCUGAUCAGGCACUGGGUCCCCUUCUCUUCUGCCUUUACUGGUCUUUCAAAUGCACUAUAAACUUGAAAAGCACAAAGCUGGACUUUCUGACUUCUACAAAGAACAUACCAGUUCUCAGAGAGGAUUCUGCGUCCUCUUAAGUAAUUAAAAGAAAACUUUUAACAUGCAAGCACUAGCCGCCUAAUCUUUACCUUUCAAAGUUCUCUAUUUACAUGGCUUCUCACAUAGGCUUCUUUAUAUCUAUACUAAAGAUAUAGAUGGAUAGUGGUAUGAAAAAAAAUCUCAGACCUAGAGAUAGCCUUGGUCUCACUGGAACUCACUAGUGUGGCACUCCUAUUUUUUCUUCUUCAAGACCAGCUACACACGAGGAAGGGCUAGAUGGUGAGCAGGGACUGAUACACUUGAUUGCUCAAAUAAUCAUAGAAUAAAAAGCUGCUUCUCCCUUGAUUCACAAAGGGCCACAACUGACUAGAAGUGGCAUCGAGCACAAGGCAGGUUUGAGGGUUGGGGUACUGUAGGAUAUCAAGUAGAUGUCCUCAUCUGAAACACAACAACUGAGCUUAUGGACAAAUGUGGAGAUGUGACAGAGCCCUCCUGUUGGCCAUCCACCCCCUUUGCUAUUUGCAUGUACUCUUUGGCAAAUCAGCAGAGAAAACCAACUCCAACCUUUUAGGGAUGAACCCAUUAAGACAAACUUAAGUACUGAAAACCACUAAGUGGGUGGGAGAAGAGAAUAUGAUCACUGUUUACUGUGAAGGCAAGUAUUCACUGGAUGGAUGAAAAAUAAGAAGCACACAAUGGAGGGAGAAGUGAUGGUGGGCACACAGAAAUAGAAGAAAAGCUGUCAAAUCUGAACAACCUUUACAGUGCUCACUCAUUUCAGAAACUAUACCAUUUUUUCAAAAUUUAUCACUAUUAUUCCCCCAAGAAGCUGGACUACAAACCGUAGGAGAGGAAAAAAUUCAUGUUUUUAACUUCCAAUUCAUUUUUAUUAUCUAGCUUUGUGAGCAUAGCAUUUUACAUUGAAACUUUUAUACAUAAUUUUGUUGACAUGAUAAAAUACAAACCAUGUAGGCCAUCGGUAGCAAAUUUUCUGUAUAGGACCCAGAAGUAAGUAUUUAAGGUUUUGCAGGGAAUGAAAUCUCUGGCAACUACUUAACUCACUGACAUAAAAGCAGUCACGGAGACUUUGUAAACUGCCUUGGUCUGAAUGCUAGGUACCCCCCAAUGUGAUGGCAUGAGACUGAGGGCUUCCAGAGUACAAACAUUACACGAGUGGAAUUAGUGCCCUUUCUCAAGAAGGCACAAGAGAAAGCCCUCAGCACAUCUGCAGCCAUGUGAGAGUUCUCACAAAGUACUAUCUGCUAAAAUGCCCCUCCCCAGGCUCCAAGCCUGCAGGCACACUGACCCUGAGACUUCCAAGGAAGCCCUUCCUGACCUCUAAAGCUGAGGCACAUUUCUCCUAUCUAACAGUCCCUCAGUAUUUUGUUAAGCAACCUGAAGGGACGACGCUGCAAACCAGUGAGCUGAGCAGGACACGCUCCAAGACAGCUUACUCAUGGCUCAAAACUGAAUUUCAUAUGAGUUUCACAUAGCAGAAAAGAGGUUUCUGAAAUAAUUUUUCUAAACACUUAAAAAAAAAAAAAAAAGAAAAAAGAAGGAACCAUUCUUGGUUUUCAGGCUACACAAAAACAGGUGGCAGGCCAGAUUUGCCCCACGCACCACAAAUUUUAUGAAUCCUAAUGGAUACAAAUUAAUAUUCAAAAAUGAAAGUGCAUAAAACACCAACUGCAAAUGUGAUCAUUACAUUAUCUUCUAAUCUAAAGGGAACACUUGUUUUUGUAUCUUCAGAAAUAGAAAUUAUGCUGUAUAGGCUAUUCCAAAGUCCUAGCUGCUAAAGUUAAUAGCAAAAACUGUAAAUGAAUCUUUGUCUUUUAAAUAAUAUUUAAACACAUUUUGCUUCCUUCGAGGACGGCUGAGACACUAGCACCUCUCAGUAGCUUAGUCUUGUUUUUCCCUUUGUCUGGUUUUCUGUGGCAGGAGCUAUGGAUUCCAGGCUGGUCUCAAUCAAACUCAUGAUCACGUGUCUCAGCCUGGUGAUUACUGGGACUAGAGGUGUGCAACCAGCAUGCCUAGCCCACACUAAGCAUUUUUAGGUCUGUCCUGAUAUCUUGGCUUUCUCCCCAACAUCUACAAGUCAAUUAAUGCCAUUAAGUCAUUUGGGUGAGUUAAAAUGUCUAUGGCGUGAUAAGCAGGAUCUCUGGAAGCUUCACUAGAAUCAAUGUGAUGGAAGGGAAAGUAUACGGGAAGUGUGUGCCGUUUAUUGUAUGAUCUUUUAAAUAUACUAGUAAUUCCAUUUGUAAAGCUUUGUCACACAUCGAAAAAAAAGGUAACAACAUAGAAUAACAGUGACCUAGAGCAGAGUACAACCCAAGAAGUCUGGCUUCCUAAUGCAGGGCAAAGAAUCUUCCCACUCUUUUUUUUUUUUACGCUGCAAUUAUUUGUUUGCCUCAGAUAUUUAUGGUCUCUGGAUAAGAGCACAGGAAGCUCCCCUAACCUAAGGUAUCUGUAAAACUACUACACUGGCUUAAGAAACAGGGUUUGCAAAUGGUGAUUCAGUUGUGAUUCACUCACAGGUCAAAAAAUCAAUGCGGUCGGUCACACAAAGCAUUUUCUAAUGGAACUGAGGAAGCGUUAUUAAGAACAUCAGUGAGCAUGGCGUGUUUUAAGGAUUAAGUCUUUUCUUACGAAGCUUUUUUUUUAAAUUAAUAGUUUUGUGUGUGUGUGUGUGUGUGUGUGUGUGUGUACUGUGUUGUAUGUAUAGUCUCACUUUCUCACUUUGAAAGAAGACUGUCUAAAAACAGUCUAAAAUGACUGCCACACCUAAGCAGACUUCAAUAAAAGACAAAGAGUCCUGAGACCUGAGGUAAAGCCUGAGAGGACAGCAUCACUCGGCGGCUGCUACCACUUCAGGUCCCUGGGUUAAAGUGUGCUUCCUAGGGGGACACGCCUGCUGGCUGCAGAGCCUUCAGGAGAUGAAGGCCACUGCUAAGCCUUGGGUCACUCUCAGGAGGCCUGCUGUGCUCCAGGGGACUAUAGGACCCUAGUUCUUUCCCAGCUGUCUUUCUCUUUUUCAUCUGACUUUAGGUGAGUCUGCUCCACCAUACAUCCCUGCACAGCCCAAAACCACAGAGCAACCACGCAUGAACUGGAGCUUGUAAAACCAAGCAUCAUGGGCCAUGACCUAAGCAGUGUGCUCCACCACAGGACCCUCCAGUAGGCCUAGAGGGCCGGAGCAGGUAGACAUGGCCAAUCUUAGACUGGAACCUCCAAAGACGCAGGAUAAAAUUAAUCUGUCAUCUUCGUAAUUAUCUCCAGGAACCCUUUUCACAGCAACUCGAAGGUGACUACCACAGUGACACAGAAAAUUCUGGAAGGCUUGACAUUAACCACAAAAACCAAGGGAGGAGAGGCACAGAGAGGUAGCAGGAAACCAAAGAGCUGACACUCUCCCUCAAACUUUCUCUAGUGUAGCAAAGCAAAGCAAAACAAAACAAAAAAUAACCUCAAAGUUAAGAGGUCUAUCUUAUGAACCUCCCAUUUUUACAAAGUUAGGUGUGAGCAGGUAAAGAACUGGAGAAUACUAGGAAAUAAGAGUUGAAAAGCUUCCUACAGAGCCUGGGAGUAUUUUCACUCCACUGAUACAGACCUAGAAAUCUGUGUUUGAUAUUUUAUGGUGGAUACUUUAUAACAGGGUUGGAUGUCCAUGUAAAUCACCUAUUUGCACAUCUGAAGAUACUGUAGGAGAACUUAUUUUAUGGCAACUUAUUUUAGGGCUAUUUGUUCUCUAGGUGUCACAAUAUCUCAUAGUGAAUUCUAUUUUAUUAUUAAUUUUUUUCACUAUCUUCUUGGAAAUCUUGGCAAUUCUCCUCAUUUUAAAAGUAAGAGGUUGAGACAUUCCCCCAAGUGAUCUAACGGAAGCCCUGGCCUCCAGUCAGCUGGGGGGUCCACCCUCAGUUCUACUGCUUAUCCUAGUUAAGUGUUUCUUUUUUAAAGUAAGUCAACGGCUGGUGUCGCACUUAGCGUACACACUGCAGAGCGGGCAGAUGUUGGGCACUGGAAAGUGAGUGUUCUCCAGUUCCUGGGCCUCCUCUUGCUCAAGGAGAGCCUGCAGACUCCUCAGAGACUGUACCGUCUCUUCAGUAGGAGAAGGCACAACAAUGUCUGCUUGCUGUUUUUAUUACACUUUAAUACAAAAAUGAACAUUAAAAGCAUAUUAUAUCUAAAUUCCAACUCAAUCCGAGACAGUGAUCAAUAUUUAAGAAAGGGAGAAAAGGAAGAAAAGCAAGAACCUUCAUAAGAGGAGGGAAUCGUGUCUCAGUGCAGCUCUAUAGUGCUCAAGGCCAGAACAUACCGUAAACACUCCUAGGGAUUAAAGGUCAGGGAAAAACCAAGGUGAAACAGAAGCCGAAACGUCCCCGUGUGUUGGCUACAAAAUCAGUGAUGAUGUGAAGAGAAGUGCUCCAGAGAAAUCAAAAGAAAAGUGUUAAAUAAGAAAAAAAAUUAUUUAUAUAUAUGUGUGUGUAUGUGUGUAUAUAUAUAUAUAUAUAUAUAUAUAUAUAUAUAUAUAUAUGAGAGAGAGAGAGAGAAACAGCCACUCAUUUGGGGCGCUCAGCAACAAGGAUAAAGAUCCAAUCAUCAGACACAGAAGCACAACCCAAGGAGGAGCUCAGGGAAAGGCUGCGAUAACACUGCCUGAAUCCGCGUUCUAACUCUGCCGUACAUACCUGUCUGACGUGCCUCAAGUCUCUGCAUGUGUAAUGACAAAAGUGGCACUUGGACUGAAAGUCUACCAACUACAUAUUCCAAACUCCCGUGUCAUUUGUCUUCCAGUUUGGUUCUGCCCGUGGGAACAGUAACAGGAAACUGUAAGAUGAGGAGGGAAAGACCUUUGGUUCCUGUUUCAAGUGGUACCCACAGGCACAGCAGCAAAGGGCUGAACAUGGCCCGCAUCAUCUGUGUGGUUUCUAAGCAGCAGAAUCUAAGCUACGCAACAGAUCACUCAGCCCUCGUCUGACCCAGGGAGUGGGUAGCAUCUCCUCCUCACUUUGUCCCUUUGUCCCUUCAGAACUCACCUAUGCCAUGUGCUCACACACAUAAACCUACUUUAAACCCAUUCGCUGAUCCAGCAUUAACCUCAACACUUUCGCCCUCAGCUCCUUCCAAAUGCAUUGUAACCAAUUUUGUGUAUUAAAUCCCUUUCUGCUCAAAACGCCUGGUGCUUCUUUCAUGAGCAGACUGUGGACACCACUAACACAUCAUUGGAGAUUGCUCUAAUACAAUGAAUUUUAAAAGUACUUCUGACCGCUGCCUGGCACCUUCAAAGGAGGAUGUAAAUAUUAACACUUCAUACUCUAUGAACUGCUUAAGCUAGGGGAUGAGAGCAAGCUGCUAAACGGGAAAUGACAGUGUUUCCUGGGUCUGCCAUCCGAUGGCACUAACAACCAUGGGCAGCUUGGUAACCCCUCAACUAGGAAGAGUCAAAAUAGACCGACAACAGGAAGAAAGCAUCAAACUCCAAAAAACCCACAAAAGCCAUCGCCUGUGGUCUCAAGUCCCUGUAAAGAAUUCCCCGGAUGCAGUAAAAUUAUUUCAAAAAACAUUUUAGUUUUCAUAAACAUGUACGUACUCUAGUAAGAAGACUAUUAUAGUCAGAUUUUUUAACAUUAAAAAUUCCUCUCAAAUAUUUUAAUUAAAAUACCGCUUCAUUUGAAAGUGCAGUAACUAGAUGUGCCACUUCUAAGCCUGUUUGCCCACAGAGCCUGGGCUCCGUGACACUGUAUCUCAGGACUCCUGAUCACUACCAAGGUACACACCACUCUCUGAACUCCUGGGUCACCUGGCUUUUCCUGGGGUUCAGCCUGUGAGAGGCACUGGGGGAAGGCUGGCAGGAAAAGCGGAGAAGCCACAAUGACUUUUUUCCCCUUUCUCUAGUUCCAGCAGGGUUCCCACAAUCCUCCCUCCUGGGCACGUCAUCACCUUGCUGUGGAUCUUUGGCCAGUCCAUCAUCUUAUCUUGACUUCUUUGUGUGCGCAAUCAAAUUUAGUUUCUAGAAUCUGUCUUGAAGAUCCAGGUUCUCUUUCUCUGUGUGACACUGAACAGUGCAUACUAAGCCAAUGGUGAUGUUAAUAUUUAAAUUACUUGGAAGACAUUAAAAUCCCAAGGUGCUGGAUCCUAGCUUCAACUUUCCAGUCAGUAUACUCACAUGUCUAACCAAAUCCCAGGUGAUGACGAACCUGCUGAUCCAGGGACCACAAUGAAAACUAUUACAAAAGAAAUUACCCACUGGUCUGUCUCCCUGUUAUGUUUAAUCCGAUGCCAAAUGCACUUUUAAAUUCAGGGGAAAUCCAUUUAUCGGUCUUCAAACAAAGAGAAAGUGGGGGUGGAGAGAAGAGCGAGAAAGGGAAGGAGGUGAAGCUUAGAGGCAGCUUCUUCUAAUUACCAUGAAUUCUAGUUUGUUUUAAAGGGAUAAGUUUAUAUCAUUUUAGCACUUACUCUAUAUUCUGCCUAGAAAUAAAAAACUUUAUAAACACUAACUCACUGAACUUCCUAUGAUAAUAAGAAGUAAUAUCUAAGUCCAGAUUAUUAGCAAACACUUGGCCAAUAAAGUGAUCAUCCCCCACCCUUCAUCAGUCUUAGAAAUGUAGAACAAAAAAUUGUCUCAACCUGAAAGGAAACCAAAAUGAAGACUCAGUGUCUUGGAUCUAAGUUUUAAGUGUUAAGCUGCUAAAAAGUCAACUUCAAAUAUAUAAGAAAACCAUGACAACUAAACUAAAACUAGAUCAAAACACCUGCACAAUUAGAUAUUAUGCACAGAUGUAAUUUUAAUCUUCUAUUAGCCAUACUUUAAAGUUUAAAAUGUGAAAUUAAUCAUACAUUUAACACAAAAUGUUACUUCAUUUAAUUAAGUCAUAAUAUAUUUAAUUCUUUUUGUUGUCUUCACAUUUAAGUCUUCAAAAUCUUCUGUGUGUAUUAUCUCAAUUCUAGCCGGCCACAUGCCCAUGUUCUACAUGGAAAGUGCUGCGCAUGUGCAUGCUCAAUGGUGGCACACGGCUAGUGGCUACCGACGCCACAGACAUCCACGUCUCUUUCCUCACUGCUUCGAUAACCGGCACAGAGCUAACAACUUACUAGUUUUUUCAUAAAUUAUCUGUGAAUUCUAAUUUAAAAAAUUUGAAUCCUUAAUGUUUCUAGAUUGCUUAAAAAGCUCAGGUGACAUUGUGGCUGUGGCAUCUGUAGCCUAUUACUGUCCUUCUUUAACUUCUCUCGGGAGGAUCACAUGUAACCAUCACACCACAAACAAGUGAGGUCCCUUCAGUGAGUUUCGCUCCCAGUCCCAAGGCCAAGCCCCACCUCUGCUUGCUUUCUCUAGCCCAGGGGAGGCGUGAGCAGCCACUACAGGGCUCUGUGGCUCCCUAGGUAAGGAAUUCUCAUCUCCUGGGCUUGUGAACAGGGAGCUAGCUAGGUCCUAACCACCACCCUCAAUCUCCAAGACAAGUAUCUGGUCCUAUGGUAGGGAACGUGGGGCCAGCUGAGCAAGUUAAUACCAUUCAAUAACAGCACAGAAAACUUGCCUGUGUAGCUAGCAGAAAUUUUUAUUAAAAAAAAAAAGUCACAUUUUUAUGUGACUCAAGGAUUACUUUAACACUCAAUUAAAAGGAGGAAAAACAAAUGAAUUUAAAGUACUAGCACCUUUAAUUCUUCGUGAUCCAUGAGACCAGACAGAAUAUAUAAAACUUAAAAUCUAAGUAGCCUAACAAAAGAUCUUACUUGCAGUGGAAAGCCAAAAUACAGGUGUGGCCUUUAAUGAAUAUAACUGAUAAUCAAGACCGAGUCUAAGAAUGAAGCAUGGAUCAAGUUAGCGAAAGCAGCAGCCGGGGAUGGAGAGGCCUGACGCUCUGGGCAAAUCCCUAAACCUCCCUUAGUAUCUAAAGGCCGGAGUAUACCUGUUUAUUCCAGGAUCCACUGAUGGAGCACUGUUUAAAUUAUGCCCUAAAGAAUGCAGGGGAUUGAGAUGGCUCCUGUAAAGCAAAGCAAUUUCUGAAUCCCUCAAAGAUAAUGGACUGUUCUUUCACUUACCAGAAAGUGGGGUUUCCUCUGCAAGUAAAACUCCUGCCACAAGCGUAAACAUGCUUGUGUGUAUGUGUCGGUGUAGCGAGAUAAUUACAUACCUCUGAGGCCUAAGUACAUCUGGUGUCACAUCGCACCUUAAGCAUACAGUUAUUUCAUUUUGAGCCAUUCACUCUAGAGAGUAAUUACUCAUCCCAUAACUUGGUCAUAAAAAGCAGAGCUCACUCGCUGUUCCAGCGACUGUACAGCAGAGGUGGGAUUUUAUACGGUACCUGUGUAAAUCAGAUCAUCAAAACAGUGCAAAGUGUUAAAAUUAUGGCAAGUUAUAUAGACUUCUGAAGCUUUUUAACUUGUAACCAGACCACACCGAAAGCUGCAACCGCCACAAAUAACCCCCGCUGGAGAUGGCUAAGUUGAAAGAAUGGCAACUCACUAAUUUAAGAAGAUACGGGAAAGCGCAAAAGCUGAGACUGGACGUUACCUAGAAAGACCCAUCUAAUCUUCCUCUUCAAGGACAUCUGCUAAAAACAAGGGAAACCCAAGGCUGGCUUGUGUGAGCUUGGCAGACCUUUAAGGCGGUAAUCUGAUAGCAAUAGAGUGACGGGGCAAUGAGCCUCCAUCACAGAACUGCUCACAACCUACAGUGCCCAGAGCCCCUCCCUUUCCUGCGGCACCAGCACUUCUGUUACACUGAGCGCCUUGAAGCAUCUCCUCCAAACACUGCUACCAUGUCUUCUCCUGAAAACCACGCUCUAAUGAAAACGAGGACAUGGGACGUUUUUCAAGCCAAAUUCACAGUGUCACCAAUGUUAACUGUAACUACUAUAUUUCUGUUAAGUCUAACAAAGAACAGAAGAUAUCUUAAACUAAGCACAGUAUCAGCUCCAAGGAGCAACAAGGUACUACAUCAUGAAUGGGCCAUAUAACCCCUACUUUGUGUAAAGAUGGCUGCCACAGCAUAUUCAGCAGUCAGGAGACACUGUUCAAGCAGCUGUAAGAUGAUAAGCAUUAGGGACAACGCUCAAAGACAACUCGACCUGACACAUGGGACUCCUGGGGUACAGGUCCACAGCGGGCUGCCUGGUGCUACUGCUGCAUAAGGAUCCGGGCAUCUCACGCACAGAGUAAGAUGCCUUCUCAAGUGGGUAGAAACGUAAAAACCAUGCUCGUAACACAAAACUGGCACUCCAAAAGUGGAGAGAUUUAUACAAAUUUCAAAUAAACGCUGACCCAAUCCUGACCCCCACAUACAAUAAGACACUAGAAAAAGAGGCUGUUCUUCCAAGACUACCUCUAACAGUAGUAAUUUCUAACAGAAAGAACUUUAUACAGCAGAUGCUUGGCUAGGAUUUCUUACAUCCAUCACUCUGGCCUGCUACUUUUCUGUUUGAUUAAUGAGGGUGAAAAGAUUAAAAUGAUUGGGGGUGGGACUGAAAAGGAAAAGGCAAGAAAAAACACUACUCCAUGCAGACUGGAAUUAGCCCACACUGUCCCCUGCAAAUGGCACUAUCGCAAGCCAGUGUCUACUCUGACCAAGCAGAACUGCAUCAGAACUGCGGGACAGAGAAAGGAAGUGAGCUCUGGGCAAGAGUGCCACCCAUCCCUCAGACCUCCCAUUCACUUGCAACCUACAACUGGAAACUGGUUGCUCUUUCCCAAUGUGUCAGUUUCUCAACCCAUAUCAACCAAACCCACAUUCCAAUGCAGCUAACAGUGUGGUAAGGUACUUAAUAUAUACAAAGAAUAGGGAGCUCUCAUUGUCUAGGACAGUCUAACAGUGGUGGAUGCAAAUAUACCUUCUGGGGAAUUUGGGAGUAGCUCCAAGUGACUACAAAUGUAAAACACGGAAAUACCUUUCAUGUUAUUCAUGUCAGAGGGGUGGGGUAAGGAUAGAUGAGGCAGUGCCUCCUUCUGGACAGUCAGGAAAACUAGUUCUAUGGCAAAAUAUCACUUCUUUCUUUGAAUCAACAAGCUUUUACUGAGAUAUCCAACUAUGUGUAGCUGUCCUAGGACCCAGGGCUAGAAACACACAGACAGACAUAUACACACUGCACUCAUGGGCCUUACAAUCUAACAGGAGAAAUGGGAGGGGAGAGACCACCAAAAAAAAAAAAAAAUCAUUAAGGUUUCAAAGGAAAGGUUUUUUAUUUGUUUGUUUGUUGCCAUAACUAAACAAGGUACUAACUAUGCAAAGAAAGGUGCCCUAAGUGGCAGAGCAGCUUGGGCACACUCAAGGACAAGAGAAAUAUUAAUGCAAGAGGCACAUGAGGAUCAUGGGGAGGGCCAUGCUGUGACCUGUGGACCUAUGAGCAAAAGCAGGCCACUGAAGGGUCUACAAAAGGUUGAUGCAAACAGCACCCUACUGGCUACGAUACGUGCAGAAUCUAAGAGCUGAUCUCCACCUGUUCAAAGAUUAUAUAUGCACACUCAUUGCAUGUGCGUGCGUGCGUGCAUGCGUGUGUGUGUGUGUGUGUGUGUGUGUGUGUAUGUGGGUGUGGGUGCAUGUGUGUGUAUGGUCUGCUCUUACAUAAUCACGAAUAAAUCCAAGUACAGAGCAACUCGAGUUUUAAAGAGCUUUGUGGUAUAAAAUAAUUGAGAAAAGCCACUAACAUAGCAGCAAAGGGGAAAUGCAUUAACAUUAUACAGCUAGAAAGACUGGAGGUGAGAUCCCAGGCUCCAUCAUCAUGGCUUUCCAAGACACAGACACAUAAAAAACACCCAACAGAACUGAGAAAGAAGUUGCCAGAGCAAAAGUGGUCCAUGGAAGGGGCACAACCAAGACAGACUGGGCAAACAAAACUGGCAACCAGUCCAUUUCUGGAUAACCCACCCUGUUGUGAGCCAAACUUUGGAAAUACAUCCAUACUGCUAAAUUCUUGCUCAAAUAGAAUUAAAAAAAAGAAAAAAACCCCUCUGGUAAAUCUUAUUAUACUUCAAAACUAAGUCUAAAAGUUUCAAGAGAAAGCCAUCCGUGUUUUAUAGAUAAGUUUAACAAACUAUUUAUGUUAACCAGCCAAUGUAUCUUCAAAAUGUACAAGAUCUUAUGGAUGUCUUGAAGUUGUGCGCUUUUGCAAGUGGUCGCUGGGAGGGAGUUGUCAAAAGACUAAGUUUAGUUUUCCAAGUUUGGUUUGGGUUUUCUUUGAGGGCUGAGGGGAACUCGGUCAAACCUUGUGGCUGUUGCAAAACUCAGUUCUCCUGCUUCAGACUACCUAGGUAUGACAGAGUCUUUACAAAAAGUGAAACAGCAAGUAAAAGGGCAAGGGCUCUCUUAACUCUACAAAGGUACACAUACUGCCAAGGCUCCCCUGGGUAACCCACAAAGACUUUUCUGCAUGGGAAUGAGCCAGGCUUACCUACUCAAAGGUGUAACCACCCAAUAAAUGAACUGCUUUCAGAAUAGGUUUUGGGUCAGAACUAGGAGAAAAGACCUUUCCAACCAGACGGAACAAAGAGGCUUUACACAACAGUCUAGUACCAGAACCCAACCAUCUACCCAGUAUUCAUAUUCUUACUAAGUCACAGCAACACAUACUCAGAAAAUUGAAGAGAAAUAAAUAGUUGGAACUUACAUACCCCGGGCCUGGCAUACCAUCUAUCAUUCAUUUAAAUGACAGUUUCCAUGUCUGCAAUACACACACGGACUGAUACUAUUGAUAGUUGGCUGUCCUGGAUUUAAAAUUCACCAACAUUUUUUUUCCCAGACUACCAGGUUCAUCAUUCAUUCCUAAGAAGAUUUUUGUACAACUGGCAAACUCAGGCGACCUCAGAACCACAUGUGGUGGAAUAUUUUUACAUUUGUUAGCACCCUGCCUUUCAGUCCAUUUGAUUAGCUAACUGACGCUCCCCUCAUCAAAGAUGCAUAGAACUCUGAAAUCUGAGAUUUAAGAGCAGGCAUACUGAUUUCUCAUAAGAAACUGCCAUUCGUUUCCUGCAGCUUUCACAUUAAAAAUGAAUUCCAUCGCUGAGUUCUCAAGUUCGGCUCAUCUCUUCACUAACUGUAGAAUCUCACAACCUACAGAUCUACUGACCUUCACUGGACAGAGAGAUCAUGCUUCACCCCCAGUAGAAACCCAUUGCACCUACAUAAUCUACCAGAUUGUGUACUACAAAGGUACUCUGGAGCAAGAACGAGUGCCAGGCACCAGAGUGGGGGAGCACCUCUGUAAUCCCAGCACUCAGGAGCUAAGACAGGAGUACUGAGUUUGAGGGCAGUCUGAACUACAGUCAGGCCCAUUUUAAACACAUUUUUAAAAGACAUUUAAAGUUUUAGAUGUGCUCAAUAUUGCUUCGUAACAGAAAUUCAAAUUUCAACUGUUCGGAGGGCAAGCUGAAAGACACUGCUCCAACAACUGUAAAGAGUUAAAAGGCAAAAGGCAACACGGGCAGUCAGGCUGCAGAAAUGCAGCAGCAGAUACUGCUAAAGCAGCCAUAAAGUCACUGUCACAGAAGGUAUCAUAAGACAGACCGCCACAGAAGGUAUCAUAAGACAGACUGCCACAAAGACAUCAAGGUACAUUGUUGCACGUCAGACUUACACAUACACACAAGGCAGAAGACACCCGGCCUUGGAUAAGAAAUCAGGGGCUGAAAAGACAAAAACUUUCAGAUUCCUGGGAUUCUGUCUGUCUUUGUUUUAGACAGAAUCUACCUCCUCUGUAGGCCUAGCAUGGCCCAGACAGAACUCCCUAAAAUGAGACUGUCUCCGUCUCCUGAAUGCUGAGAUUAGAGGUAUAGGCCAUCAUCCCCAGCUCCAACAAUAAGAUCCUAAAUAACAUUACAAAGCAGCCUAACAAACUAUAAAUGUCUGGAACCAGGAGAGUGCCUACCACCCCUGACCAGAGUUGCUUGAAUGUUUUGUGCUUAUUGGAACUUACCCAUCACUAUCACCUCGCCCCCAGCAGACACACAUAGAGACAGACACACACACACGGGGGGGGGGGGGGGGGGUGGUGGCACACACAUUGGGGGGGGGGGCAUUUAAAAACUACAAACCAUACACUUUUGCCAAAAUAAAUUGCAGGGGGCUGGGAGGAACAGCUCAGCAGUUAAGAGCACUGGUUGCUUCUCAGGAAGACCUGGGUUCAAUUCCCAGCACCCAAAGGGCAACUCACACCAGUCUCUAACUGCAGCCCUAGGAGGAUGCAACGCUCUCUUCUGGCCUCCAUGACCAUCAGAUACGCACAUGGGUACAGACAUGGGCAUGCAAAACACCCAUACAUAUUUAAAAAUCCGAGACAAAGAAAAACUUUAAAAUAGAUUUCUUAGGCAUAAACCCCACAAGUUUCAUAAUUUCAAAAUCAAAGAAUCACUGCUAAGCAAUAAAUUACUGACACAAACCCUGACCUAAUUCACACUAAAAUGUAAAGAGACUCAGUCACUACUAGCUCUGUCACCAACUUCUUAAAAAUAUCUGAAAGUCUGAACUGUGAAAAUAAAAUGGGUUACUGUAAAGAGGAUGAAGAAGCCAACAGUAGAGAGCUAGCCUAGCCUCACAUGCUCAAGGCUUUGUGGUCCAUCUUUAUCCCUGAAAACGAAAAGCACUUUAUAAAAACAUGAAAAUCUUCAAUGAAACGGAAAUCUGUUGCAUUGUUAAGUGAAUAGGUUUAUGUUUUGUUUUUUGUCUCUCACUGCUGCAUCCUUACUAAAAACAAAACUGUAAUAUGACCCAGGCUUUUGGAGUUCCUGGCUAUUUGUGAAACGGCUUAAACAAAAUGCCUUUUGAAUACACUGCUAAGAGGGAUCCAUGGAAACUGAAAAGAAACUGCUCUGGCAAGUUCCAAGGAACACAGUCAUCAAACACUGCCUCCAGGGGUUCUGAGGUCCACUGGUCUAACCUCUUCCAGGGGUUCUGAGGUCCACUGGUUUAACCUCUAGAACCUUGGUUUUAAUCAAGCUUCUGAAAGCAAAACUGACACAACGUAACUCACCUAGUAAAUCUCAAUUAAAUUAACAAUCCAAACAAUAGUCAUUCAUCAACUACCAUGCAGUAGGUUAUCAUCUUCUAUCAGUCAUGUUAAGGCUCACAGACACACUUCUGUAGACACCCCUUGAUGCCACCUGGUCACUCUCCAAGCUACACUCAAGAUAACUCUCCGAGGUUAUUUCAAGAAAACCUAUCUGUAGAACAUAUAGCCUCUAGCUGCAGAAAGAUGCAACAUGGGAAUAUGACUACGAUGUGAUAUAUGUCAAUGCAAUUGAUCCUCUACCCUCAAGACGUUCAGUUGUGAUCAAAUAUUUGCCUUCACCAUGAAAGAAAUCAAACACUCUUAGAUAAACUCAUCCAAGUGCUCACCUUGCUCUUUUCCAAGAUGCCAGGCCCGGUGGCACUCACCUGCAAACCCAGUACUCGGGAAAGAGGCAAAGAUGACAGCAAAUGCUGAGGUAUUCUGAACUGCUCUGACAGACCCUGGCUAAAAAUAAUUCACAUGCUUUGAAAAGCAUCUCUGAUUUACUAUAUGAGAACAUAGGGCUGAGCGUAGCAGCGCAUGCCGACAAUCUCAAUACUGAGGUGGUAAAGGCACGAGGCCACAAGUUCAAGGCCAACCUGGGCAACAUACAAGACUGCCUCAAGAAGGAAGGAAAACUAAAACUAUAAAACCAUAAUACAAUCUCUGAAACAUUCACUUUUCACUAAGCCAUUAGACCUGAACUUUUCAUAAAAAGUGAAUUUCCUAGAAUUCGUCCUGAACAACCUUAAGGAAGGAAUCAAUUUGAUUUUAUAUCAUUAUGGUGUACUGCCUUAGGAAGGCGUGUCAGGUCAACGCACUAACAUUAGCCUCACAUUGGACCACUUUCUAGAGAAUAUGGGACUAAUCGUCACUGCUGCUACUGGAAGCCACAGUGUCAUCUAAACUACACCGCAGCUCAGCCCUAACACAUUCAGCUUUCUGUGUGCCGUUGCAGGAAAGUAAGUCUUAGCCUCCCUACUGAUCUCCCUGCCAUUUCAUAUGGUGACACUUUUUAUCUCUUCCCCAAAAUCACUCAGAAACAAAUCCUAAUUUCCAUUUUCAAUACAGCAGAUAGUCAAGUAGGUUCUUAAAAGUACAGGUGCAGCCAGGUGGUGGCGCAUGCCUUCAAUCCCAGCACUCGGGAGGCAGAGGCAGGCAGAUUUCUGAGUUCGAGGCCAGCCUGGUCUACAGAGUGAGUUCCAGGACAGGCAGGGCUACAUAGGGAAACCCUGUCUUGAAAACAAACAAACAAACAAAAAAGUACAGAUGCAUCUGAAAGUGUAGGGCUGGGUUUGCAAAUGUGAGCUCCAGGAUACAGCUAGGAAGUAUGUAGAAUCUAGACCCAGAUCUCAGGCCUUCAGGUAGAAUCCUGCUGCUCUCUAAAGAACAGUAAGUGUUUGACCAUUUAACAAACCUGAAACCACAGACACGCAUGAGCAAAGGGUACAGCAGGAAAAAGCUCUUGGUUUGGGGUUUUUUGUUUCUGGUUUUGGUUUUUUUUUGGUUUUGGGUCUGAUGACACCUCUAAUUAUAUAACUCAACUCUGACUCCACAACUUCAACAACAGUGGCAAUUUUAAAAAUGCUGAGGCACUUUAAUGAGCCACGUAAACUUUGCACCUCUUGGUGCCACCACAACGCCCAAAUACUGAGCUAAAUAUGUCCGACCCGAUAAAACAACUUUUAAAUCUUUCUUCUCUCUAAAAUAAUCUCUAUAGCACAUGUUUCAAGAUUUAUUAUUUAUGAUGACUAUUUUUAAAAGCCAUUUAUUUUUUUAAAAAAAUUAUUCUCUUUUAAAAGUACAAACUAACAGAACGUUGUAGACAGAGUAUAUCUCAAACUUAGUUAGACUGAUGAAAAAUUAAGUUUCCGACAUUGGCCACCAGUCCCACAAAGUACUGGCCCUAUGCCACCAUGGCCUAGUGCCAGCCUGAUGUAGGGCCAGGCUAAAAAUAGCAGCUAAGCAGCAGCUGGAACACAUAGGUCCUUCUGACGUCACUUAUGUCCCUAAAUCGGGGGGGGGGGGGGGGAGGGGCGCAACAGAAGGUCUGGAAGAAGUGGGAAGGAGGAGGGGAGCAGAGGGGAGGAGAAGAGAUGUGGAGAGAAGGAAACAGACUGCAGGGCAAGCUAGGCUCAGAAGCUGCAUGCCCUGGCUCUCGCUUGCAGCUCCAUCAUCGCACAGCCUCUACUGGUCGUCCCACUGUCAGCUUCACCAACUGUCCAGGGAAGGCAUGUGCCCAUUAUCUUUGUAGGACUGAGUUGCUGAUAAAAGUUCCACAAUUGAUAUUUGGGGAUGGAGAGAGGGAAGCAAUAAGAUCCAUCAGAGAUAGAAGUCAGCUUAAAAGAACGCUAUUUAAAAAAAGAAAAUCCUCAGGAACAGGGCAAAGUUUAGAAGAUUACUUACAUAAAACAGUCAGACAACAGGUUUCUAACCUCUGAGGUACAGGAUUUAUUUUACAAUGGGUAUUUAGCAGAGCAUUUCUUUUAGAAACCAGGUAAUGAGCUAGGCAUGGUGAUGAGCACCUCUGAUCCCAGUGCAUGGGAGACGGAGCAGGUGGAUCUCUGAGUUUGAGGACAGCCUGGUCUACAAAGUGAGUGCCAGGACAGCCAGGGUUACACAGAGAAACCUUGUCUGGGGGUGGGGGGGAGAGAAAAGGAAGAAAGGAAGGAGGAGAGGACAAAGGAAGUAAUGCAGCCUUCAACCUGACCAAGUCUUUAUUAAGAGAAGCACUGUCCUCUGUACCUAAACUAUGAAACAACUGUCCUUCACAUAUCAAGAUAUUGGAAUGCUAGUUGCCUCAGCAAAUAUUUAGUGGGUAAAAUGAGGUACAGUAUUCUAAAUUGUGCUGACAUAAAGAAUCAAAAAUGCAGAGGCAAACAUGACGGAUCAGCAGUUGAAAAAGUGCUUGGUGUGGAACUGGAGAGAGGGCCCAGUGGUUAAGAGCACUGGCUAUUCUUGCAAAAGACUAGGUAUUGAUUCUUAGUACCCACACUGUGGCUUGCAACUGCCUGUAACUCCAAAACAGGGGAUCAAAUGCCCUCUUCUGGCUUCUGCGGGCACUACAUGCAUGUGGUACAUACACAUAUAUGCAACCAAAACACUCAUACACAUAAAAUUAAAUAAAACUGAAAUAAAAAUAUUUUUAAAGAAUGCUUCCUGCUCUUGCAGAGAACCUGGAUUUAGUUCCCAGCAUCUACAUGGCAGCUCACACUCACCUGUAAGUCCAAUUCCAGGGAAUGCAAUGUUUUCCUCUGACCUCUAAUGACUUCUGCAUGCAUGAGAUGCCCGUAAGUGCAGGCAAACACACAUACACAUAAAAUAAACAACUAAACCUUUAUUUAAAACAAACAAACAAACAAAAAGAAUUUAAAACCUGCUCUCAAGGAUCAUCUUUAUAGUAUCGUCUUAGGGAUAUUUCUUCUUGUAAAGGUCUAAUAUUAAUUAACAAUGAAAACCCUUCAAAUAGACUGUUAAGUAAGGCAAGAUCAGGCAGACAGUCACCUGAAUUUUAAGCACAUUAAUUCACUUAAUGAGCCUCCAAUUUAUCUGAUCAACUUAUUGGGUUUUAAGAGUUUAAAUGUACUGAAAGGUUCUGCUGUGUCCUACCAAUUAACAUCUGGGCACAACAACUGUACAGAUGAAGCUAUAAAAUUAUCUCAUUCAAAGAAAGUUGAUUGCUCUGCCAGCACUAGGAAGUAUCAUUGCUAAUCACAGUUACUGUUAAAGGGCCUGAAAAGGAAAAAUGUAAUUCCUUAAAUAUACUUUGAGAACACUCUCUGCAGCACACACGUGACCAACGCAAUCUUCAAGUUACUCCUUAACAGUUGAGCUUCUCCUGGAAGUUGAUUAGUCACCUAAUACGAGCUGAAAUUCAGUAGAAAGACAAUAAAAGACGCAUUUAGCUGCAGAUGUAGCUUGGUGGUAGGCAGGAACCAGAGGGUUUGGGAGAAGAAGGGAUGACUGGCUCUGACAGACAUUAGAAUCCAAGCUACAGUUAACAUUUGACCUUCAGAUCUCCAUGAAGGCCCUCUGAAAAGCAGCGAAUGACUGUAAGCUUGAGAAUAAUCUAGAAUCAGUAGCCAUACUGAGGACACACCACAGGCAGGGCCGAGUAGGCUAGCAAAGCACUCGCCAAGGAGGUCAGCCUGGUCUACAGAGCAAGUUCCAGGGCAGCUAGGGCCACACAGAGAAAUCCAGUCUCGAAACACAAAAUAAAAGCAAAAAGAAUAAGGAGAACAAGACCUAGUACACAUUGCUAAUAUCUUUAUAAAUUUAGCUUUUACUACUUUAUAAAAAUGUUACAGUAGACUCUUGUGAGACAUGCUGAUUUAACAAAGAACUGCCCCAAACCAUGGGAAAAAAAUAAAAUCUUUUUAGAAGUUCAACACUUGACUGGAAGGAGAAAAAAGCAUAUAUGGGUAUAAUCCUGAAGAGCUUUGAAUAUUCCCUCCCCAGAGGAGGAGGCAGCUUGCCGACGAGAGCAGGGAGUUAUGUACAAAUGUUUUUUUCAAAUAUGAGUACGACUAUAAACACAUUAAAUUCACACCACACUUCUUCCUUGUGUUACGACUGUGCUGUGUGUAAGCACUGCCCACUUUAAGUAAAUUCUCUAUUACAUGCGUGUCUGCAUGCACUUUCCCUGUGCACAGAGCUGGAAAAGUUUUGUGCCAUAGCAGACACAACUUUUCAUGGAUUUUUUUAUAUCAUAGCAUUACUAACUCCAACCGCUACUACUGUUUAGCAAUAAAUAGCACUUAAUGUGCACACUAACUGAACUGAAGCCCUUAGACUUUAGCCUGAAAUAGAACACGUUUACAACACUCCCAUAAAGUAACUUCACCAGCAUUUGCAUCAAUUCACCUUCACAAAGUGCUGCUGUCCCUUCUGAGAUUACCCAACGGUCCCAGGGAUCCAAGCGAGUGGAAGCUGUGGAAACCAGAAGUCACUGUUUUCUGCCACAUAUGGCUUGCUCUGAACAGAAAAAUCAGGAAAGCCAAGCAUGGUGUUUCACAAGGAUAAUUCCACCACCUGGGAGAGAGGCUGAGACAGUAUGGCUGGGAGCUCCAGGCCAUCCCAAACCACGUACGUAAUGAGUUCUGGUCCAGCCUGGGCUACAGAAUAAGAUUCUUGUCUCGAAAUACAUAUUCAAUAAAAUGAAAAUCAAGAGAAGCUGAAGUAAAUGGUAUCUAUCUCUAAAAGCCUUUCUCUCUCACGCACGCACGCACGCACGCACGCACACAAUGAUACAAAUAACGCUCUACUGUGUUUUGUAUCUUUUGAUAGAGGAAAGCUUCUGCACACUGCACAGGGUCACUUGAGAUGGCCAUGCCCUGGCCUGUCUCCUUUUCUACUUAUAUUUACCUCAAAACUCUCACUUCACAGUUCCACAGAAAUAGGCCAGGCAUGGGACUACACACCUGUAAUUCAGCACCUAGAAGGUUUAGGCAGGACAAUCCUGAGAUCAACGCCACUAUGUGAGAUGCUGUCAGAGGGAGGGAGGGAGGGCGGGCAAGCAUUUCAAAGACGGAAAAUCUCUGCCAGAGCCUUUACAAACAAACAGCCUCGUACUAUUUGUUAGAAAGUCCGUGUUUCUGUCUGCUUAAAACAAUAGCAGAAUUCACACUGCUUUCUCUCCAAAGCUUACUUUAUCCCUCUUUCCUAGAUGUGGAAAGAAAGAAAAUUACCCUAUUUUUAAAGAAAUUAAAACCAUGUGCAAACAUUCGGCAGUACACAGGACAUUGAUUUAAAAUUAGAUGCCCAGGCGUUUUCAAUAAAUCUAACCAACACUUUACUGUUUGAGGAAUCGCUAAGCCGAAAAACAGAAGUGCUUUUCCAUCAAUCAAGAUAACAUUCUUUUUCUCCAAAGUAUCAUUUGAUAUUAAUUUCUUAGGAGACAAAGUCAUCCUGCUUAAUUACUUCAACUCACUUUUCAGAUGUGUAGUAACCUGCACACGUGUACAGUCAAAAGGAAAUAAAGCAAGAUAGAUAUAAAUUAGGCUUUUCACUGAGCAAUUUUUUUAGUUAUACAAUGGUAAUUUAAAAGGUAAUGAAAAUGUCAUUUGCUUUAUUUCUAAGACAAUCACAUUUCCUAAUAAGACUGUAUGUCCCAUUUAGCCUAACAAUUUAAGUCAUGGCAGUUGGAGUUGAAUGUCUCCCCUAUGAGGUUUCCUAACACUAAAUGAGUUGUUUUAUCACAUGUAUGUUAAAGUAGGCUUCUUCGAGAUACCAAACUCAUUCUGAUGCACUGAGGAAAAUUUACAGUCUAACACAAAACAGAAAGAGUGAAGAUCCAAGCCAAUCAUGUAGCUUUUAAAAGGGAUUGCUUUCUUAAAAGCCAUCCUGUUCUGUGCACAUAUUACCAGCAGAAAUCACACAUCCCUAACUAACUGCUAAGCAUGAGUGUGAUGGGAGAUCCUGGCCCAGCAUUUCUCCUUAUGAAACAUCAGAGCAAAGGAGGAGACAGCAAGCAGCUGGCAAUGACAAAAUGAGCAUCUUAAAUGCAACAAGGACAUACUUAAGAGAAUAAGAAGCUCCAAUGUUUGAUUAAUUGCAGUAAUUCUCUUCCAUUAAAGGCCAUGGCUCACAGGCAUCCUGAUGUUUCCAAAAGAAUAGCAUCGAAGCCUAGCGCUUUCCAAAGAACUGAAAUUUAACACAAAAGGGAAAAAAAAGAGACAGCCUCUGCAGUCCAAGAGUGUACUCAUAACACAACUAUUUAGCAAGGAAUUACAAGGCCCGGCUGCAGAUGUGGCUCUAUGGUAGAACACUUGCCUAGCAUCAAAGAGACGCGCCAUUCAACCCCUAGCAGGAAAAACAAACAACAGCAAGGCUGAAGCAAAAAUAGAAAUGACUGCUUAACCAAAGUCUGCAAGUCCAUCUUCCAGUAUUGUUGAUGUGUGUGUGUGUGUGUGUGUGUGCGCGCGCGCGCGUUGUGUAUAGCCAUGGGAUGUAUACAUUGUUCAUGUGAAUGUAUAUACGUCUGAGUAUACCUAUGUGGAGGCCAGAGGUCAACAAUGAGUAUGCAUCUCAAUUACUCUCCAUAUUAUUUUUUGAAAUAAGGUUUAUUACUGAACCUGGAGCUCACCAGUUCAGCAAGGCUGGCUGUCCAAUAAGCUCCAACAAUCCGCCUGGCUCUUGCCCUCUGCCUGCUGGGGUAAGAAAUGUAUCCUCCUUAAGGGGGUACUGAAUGUCCAAAUUCAUGUCCUCCUGCUUGUUCACCAAGCACUCUACUGACUGAGCCAUCUCCUCCCUCCCUCCUUGGAUCUGUGUCUGAGCCCACUGAACAGAGAGAGAGUUCUUCACUGGACCAGUACCAGCUGUCAUGGAAGCAUCUCUAAACAUCAAGCACUCCUCACCUAGCAGGUACUGAAAAACUGCAAACCAACCUCUCACGUCACACACAAACACAAGUGAAUGCUUCCACAAUGUCCUCCUCUCUGCACUCAAUACACUUGCUCCGUAGCCAAAAGGCUGGGGUGGGGUUCAGUGGUGGAGCAUUUGCCUCCCAUGUCCCUGCGCUUAGUCCCCCUGAAAAGCAGAAAUAAAUUAGCAUACAGUGCUAUACAAAAUUGUUCCCUAUUAUUUCACCCUUGAAAGUGAGUGCAAUAAAACAAGACAUCUAAAAUACACAACUCUGAAAGUAAAUUUAGAAUCUCAUCUUUAUACAGUCAUCUUUGGUCAAUAAAGAAAAUAAAAACACUCUAGUAAAGGCCAAUAUAUUAACUGACUAAAAUUUUUACUCAUUUUAAUUUCAAUACAUAUUCUCCUUGUGCUUUCCUGUCUUCACUCCACCACCCCCAGCAAAAAAAAAAAAAAAAAAAAAAAAGAAUAUA